rnacentral:rRNA from 1 species
UACGUAGGGUGCAAGCGUUGUCCGGAAUUAUUGGGCGUAAAGGGCUCGUAGGCGGUCCAUCGCGUCGGGAGUGAAAAGCUGGGGCUUAACCCCAGUCCUGCUUCCGAUACGGGUGGACUAGAGGUAGGUAGGGGGAGAUCGGAAUUCCUGGUGUAGCGGUGAAAUGCGUAGAUAUCAGGAGGAACACCGGUGGCGAAGGCGGGGUCUCUGGGCAGUAACUGACGCUGAGGAGCGAAAGCGUGGGGAGCGAACAGG